UACGGAGGGUGCAAGCGUUAUCCGGAUUCACUGGGUUUAAAGGGUGCGUAGGCGGCUUAUUAAGUCAGGGGUGAAAGGCGGUAGCUUAACUAUCGGAGUGCCCUUGAUACUGAUGAGCUUGAAUGCAGCUGAGGUAGGCGGAAUGUGACAAGUAGCGGUGAAAUGCAUAGAUAUGUCACAGAACACCGAUUGCGAAGGCAGCUUACUAAAGUGCGAUUGACGCUGAGGCACGAAAGCGUGGGGAUCAAACAGG
rnacentral:rRNA from 1 species